UACGUAGGUGGCAAGCGUUGUCCGGAUUUACUGGGCGUAAAGAGCGCGCAGGCGGUCGUUCAAGUCGAGUGUGAAAGCCCCCGGCUCAACUGGGGAGGGUCACUCGAUACUGAUCGACUCGAAGGCAGAAGAGGGAAGCGGAAUUCCCGGUGUAGUGGUGAAAUGCGUAGAUAUCGGAAGGAACACCAGUGGCGAAAGCGGCUUCCUGGUCCAGCACCGACGUUCAGGCACGAAAGCGUGGGGAGCAAACAGGG
rnacentral:rRNA from 1 species